rnacentral:rRNA from 1 species
AUGAAUCUGACGGAGAAGGAGAACACAAAGCUGGUGGUUGACGAUCAGGAAGAUACAGGAGCGGCUCCACAGUGGGCGCUCGUGGGGAAGGUGCUGUACCGCAAGUUUUUGCAUGUGAACACAAUUGAAGAUGCACUACGCCCUGCUUGGGGUAAUCCAAGAGGGCUGACCUUUAACUCUGUUGGCGAGAACAUGUUUGUUGCGAAUCUGGAUGGACAGAGGGACAGAGAUCGCAUCUUUGAGGGCGGUCCAUGGAUGGUUGGUAAACACGCAGUAGUGCUGGAAAUUUUUGAUUGUAGAUCAAGGCCGUCCAAUUGCAAGUUUGAGAAGCUGCAAAUCUGGGCAAGAAUCGUAAACUUGCCGUUCAAUCUCCGGUACCCGCCGUGGCCGGAGAGAAUUGCAGGUAUGGUGGGUAAAGUAAGCAGACUGGAUGUGGAUGCUAAAGGGUUCGCCUUUGGUGAAUCCCUGAGAGCCCGGGUAUGGAUACAAGUGAAAGAGCCUCUGAUGCGGUGGGUUCAGACUGAAUCAACAAGAACAAAGGAGACUAUACUCUAUGACAUACAUUAUGAGAAUCUGUCGUACUUCUGUUUUUCGUGUGGACUGCUUGGACACGCGGACGGUUUUUGCCCCAACCCAGCGGUGAGAGAUGAAGACGGCCGCUUGCCGUACAAGGAGAAGCUAAGGUGGUCGGCUGUGAAGAAGAGCUAG